UGACAAGUUACAAGGACAUACUGAGGAGAGGCAGUUAGAAUACAUGCUUCAGAGGUAAAUAAAUGAACAUCCACAGGAUGCUGGAUCUGCUCAAGUUUUGUGAGGCAAGAUAGUUAAAAGUUACAUGGAACUGUUGAGGAGAGACAGGGAGAAUGAAACAGACCUUGAAUAUUGCAACUCAUAAAAAGAAAGAAAACAGUCCUUGAAGAUCUCCUCUUGUUCUUCUGCAAAAUUUCUGAACACUUUUCCAGACAACAGACAGACCAGAGGGAUAAAAGUCAGCAGUCUUUUCAUGAUUGAAGAUGAAACAUCUGGCAAUCUACAGUUGCUUACCUGUUUGGCCUUCUCUUUGCCUCGGAUAUUGAGCAGUACCUGAAAGGUCUUAAUGGACACACUGUUCUGCAAUGGUGCUGUCCCUCAAAACUAACCUCUUGCUCUGACAUUAAGUUGCAUUUGUAAGCUAUUUUAUAUGUGCAGAUGCACUUCAUAUCCACAAAAUGUGACUGGUUUACUAUACAAAAAAAAAAAAGUUCAGUGAACUUGAUAAAUAAAAAAAGGCAUUUAACAUUCAUUUAUGAUUACUUUUGACAAAAUCUGUGAUUUAUUAACUAAUUUUAAACAAAUCAAGAACUAUACAGUUAACUG